GUCCACGCCGUAAACGAUGGACACUAGGCGUCGGGGGGAGCGACCCCCUCGGUGCCGUCGCUAACGCAGUAAGUGUCCCGCCUGGGGAGUACGGCCGCAAGGCUGAAACUCAAAGGAAUUGACGGGGGCCCGCACAAGCGGUGGAGCAUGUGGUUUAAUUCGAAGCAACGCGAAGAACCUUACCUGGGCUUGACAUGCUGGUGUAAGCCGGUGGAAACAUCGGCCCCUCUUCGGAGCGCCAGCACAGGUGCUGCAUGGCUGUCGU
rnacentral:rRNA from 1 species